rnacentral:SRP_RNA from 1 species
GCCAGGUGUGGUGGCGUGCACCUGUGAUCCCAGCUACUUGGGAGGCUGGGUUGGGAGGAUCACCUGAGCCCAGGAGGCAGAGAUUGCAGUGAACCGAGAUCACACCACUGCACUCCAGCCUGGGCAACAGAGUGAGACCCUGCCUCUU